CUCGAUCUGGAAGGUAGAGAGGCGCAUCCCGUUGCUGAACGCCAGCUGCCUCAGGACGUCCACGUCUGGAAGACCCCACUCUGGGUUCCUGCAGGAUGGCAUUACACAGAUUCCUGGUGCACUUUACCAAAUAGCGCAUAGGCAAUGGCGGAUUAAACAGGAGGAGGCUAUUGGACAGAUGGUGCGGGAGAUUAGGCCG